GCAAGUCGAACGGGAAUUACUUUAUUGAAACUUCGGUCGAUUUAAUUUAAUUCUAGUGGCGGACGGGUGAGUAACGCGUGGGUAACCUGCCUUAUACAGGGGGAUAACAGUCAGAAAUGGCUGCUAAUACCGCAUAAGCGCACAGAGCUGCAUGGCUCAGUGUGAAAAACUCCGGUGGUAUAAGAUGGACCCGCGUUGGAUUAGCUGGUUGGUGGGGUAACGGCCCACCAAGGCGACGAUCCAUAGCCGGCCUGAGAGGGUGAACGGCCACAUUGGGACUGAGACACGGCCCAGACUCCUACGGGAGGCAGCAGUGGGGAAUAUUGCACAAUGGGGGAAACCCUGAUGCAGCGACGCCGCGUGAAGGAAGAAGUAUCUCGGUAUGUAAACUUCUAUCAGCAGGGAAGAUAGUGACGGUACCUGACUAAGAAGCCCCGGCUAACUACGUGCCAGCAGCCGCGGUAAUACGUAGGGGGCAAGCGUUAUCCGGAUUUACUGGGUGUAAAGGGAGCGUAGACGGUGUGGCAAGUCUGAUGUGAAAGGCAUGGGCUCAACCUGUGGACUGCAUUGGAAACUGUCAUACUUGAGUGCCGGAGGGGUAAGCGGAAUUCCUAGUGUAGCGGUGAAAUGCGUAGAUAUUAGGAGGAACACCAGUGACGAAGGCGGCUUACUGGACGGUAACUGACGUUGAGGCUCGAAAGCGUGGGGAGCAAACAGGAUUAGUUAC
rnacentral:rRNA from 1 species